rnacentral:misc_RNA from 1 species
CCGAGUUACAACUCCCAAACCCCUGUGAACAUACCUAUAUGUUGCCUCGGCGAAUCAGCCCGCGCCCCGUAAAACGGGACGGCCCGCCGCAGGAUCCACAAACUCUGUUUUUAUUGUAACUUCUGAGUAACAAAACAAAUAAAUCA